rnacentral:rRNA from 1 species
UACAGAGGUCCCAAGCGUUGUUCGGAUUCACUGGGCGUAAAGGGUGCGUAGGUGGCCAGGUAAGUUCGGUGUGAAAGCUCGGAGCUCAACUCCGAAAAGGCAUUGAAUACUAUCUGGCUGGAGGGUCGGAGGGGAGACUGGAAUUCUCGGUGUAGCAGUGAAAUGCGUAGAUAUCGAGAGGAACACCAGUGGCGAAGGCGAGUCUCUGGACGACACCUGACACUGAGGCACGAAAGCCAAGGGGAGCAAACAGG